UGCUGUGCUCGUCGUAACAAUCGGACGGCUAGGAAAAGUGAU
rnacentral:sRNA from 1 species